rnacentral:rRNA from 1 species
GCGUGAGAAUCUGGCUUCAGGUUGGGGACAACCACGGGAAACGGUGGCUAAUACCCAAUGUGCCGUUGAGGUGAAAGAUUAAUUGCCUGAAGAUGAGCUCGCGUCUGAUUAGCUAGUUGGUGGGGUAAGAGCUCACCAAGGCUCCGAUCAGUAGCUGGUCUGAGAGGACGAUCAGCCACACUGGGACUGAGACACGGCCCAGACUCCUACGGGAGGCAGCAGUGGGGAAUUUUCCGCAAUGGGCGAAAGCCUGACGGAGCAAUACCGCGUGAGGGAGGAAGGCUCUUGGGUUGUAAACCU